rnacentral:rRNA from 1 species
UACGUAGGGUGCAAGCGUUGUCCGGAAUUAUUGGGCGUAAAGGGCUCGUAGGCGGUCCAUCACGUCGGGAGUGAAAAGCUGGGGCUUAACCCCAGUCCUGCUUCCGAUACGGGUGGACUAGAGGUAGGCAGGGGAGAACGGAAUUCCUGGUGUAGCGGUGAAAUGCGCAGAUAUCAGGAGGAAUACCGGUGGCGAAAGCGACUCUCUGGACGGCAACUGACGCUGAGGCACGAAAGCGUGGGGAGCAAACAGG